GGAGCGGCCGCGGGCCCCAACGAGCAUGCGCACAUGCACACAGACACAGGGAAGCUGGGGUCCCAAGGCACACCAAUGACUACGGUCUGGUGGAUCCUGAACACUGGACCCUAAGGCCAGUGGCUUUGACAGACCUAAACGGAAAAAACAGUCUCAGGUCAUCCACAGGCCCGCCGCUCUCACCGACAGACCGAACCCAUCCCUUCCUGGCAAUCAGAAAUGAAGAGAUGACCUGUCUGUCCCCUGACCACUCCUUGUGAGAGCGUGGCCAUCCAGUACUCUGUGACAAGGUCUGGGGACUCUGACAGCACCACUGUCACCAGAAAGGACCAUUGCAGGUGUGACUGACACCUUCAAGAUGAGAGCAUCCCUGACUACCCAAGUGGGGCUUAUGAGCGACACCUGUGAGGACAGAAGCAGAGAGCAGAAUGAGGCAGCCACAAGCCAAGGAAUGCCUAGAGACAGCGAGCUGGAAGAUGCAAAACCAUGCAGGAGCUUUGGAACUUGGCUGUGCUGGAGUGUGAAUUAUGCAUAUUCAAGAACAGAGGGGAUUCAUUGGGCUGCCUGCAGACUGCCUUGAGUGUCAGAACAGGAAGAGGAAGAUGGCGGACAGACACCUCCACACCAUUGAAGGGGUUUCUAUCGAUCUAUCUAUUCCAUUUUCAAGCCAUUGACCUCUUUUCACUGAGAACCAAGAUAGAUGGUGAUGCUGAAGGUGACUACAUGCUUUGUUCCAGAAGAGUCACAGAUAUAUCUCAACUUAAUUUAAGAUAAUGAGGACAUUGAAGUUCAGUGAUGUUGAGUAGAUUGCACCAAGGCAUAUAGGUCAUAAGGUGCUGAGCUGGGAGUUGAGUCGGUGUCUGUUUCAUGGGAAAUCUUCUGUCUUUAGAAUCUACCAUUAUGGCCAAGAGGUGUGUCUGGUGGUACCAACUUAGGGACAAGAUUAGGAGGGGUGAUUGGAAGCCAUGGCCAGGUUCAAAGUAUUGGGAACCUGCCUUGAUCGAGUCACACUCCGGAGUCACACCCAGCACUGUUGUCCCAUUUAUAAACUGAUCCUCACACAGUGCCAGCAUCUAAGUGGCUGUGUAUGGAAACACAGCUGCACUAGCAUAUUUAAUAGAAUAAAUCUGUGAGUGAUAUGCACCCAAGCAACCAGGCCACCAAGACAAUCAGACAUAGCAAAUGAAACAAAUUAAGUGAGUGUGAUUGAUGGUGAAGAGGCAGAGUCAAGGCUGUGGACUGGAGAGGAACCUUCUAGCUGGAAGAGAGAAGAAAAAAAUAGCUGAAUUGGAAAGAUGGAGCCCUUCACAUGAUAUCAGAAAACAGGUAGACAGGCAAUCAUAGGGCUGAUAGCUCCUCAUAAGGAGCGUAUGAGACCUCCCAGUGACACC